GACGAACGCUGGCGGCGUGCUUAACACAUGCAAGUCGAACGGAAAGGCCCUGCUUUUGUGGGGUGCUCGAGUGGCGAACGGGUGAGUAACACGUGAGUAACCUGCCCUUGACUUUGGGAUAACUUCAGGAAACUGGGGCUCAUACCGGAUAGGAGCUCCUGCUGCAUGGUGGGGGUUGGAAAGUUUCGGCGGUUGGGGAUGGACUCGCGGCUUAUCAGCUUGUUGGUGGGGUAGUGGCUUACCAAGGCUUUGACGGGUAGCCGGCCUGAGAGGGUGACCGGCCACAUUGGGACGGAGAUACGGCCCAGACUCCUACGGGAGGCAGCAGUGGGGAAUAUUGCACAAUGGGCGGAAGCCUGAUGAAGCAACGCCGCGUGCGGGAUGACGGCCUUCGGGUUGUAAACCGCUUUCGCCUGUGACGAAGCGUGAGUGACGGUAAUGGGUAAAGAAGCACCGGCUAACUACGUG
rnacentral:rRNA from 1 species